rnacentral:rRNA from 1 species
GUCCACGCUGUAAACGAUGUGCACUAGGCGUUGGGCCCGUACGGGUUCUGUGCCGUAGUUAACGUGUUAAGUGCACCGCCUGGGGAGUAUGCUCGCAAGGGUGAAACUCAAAGGAAUUGACGGGGGCCCCGCACAAGCGGUGGAGCAUGUGGUUUAAUUCGAUGGUACACGAGGAACCUUACCAGGGCUUGACAUGUGCGUGAAUGUUCACGAGAGUGGGCAGCCCCGCAAGGGGCGCGCACACAGGUGCUGCAUGGCUGUCGU